GCAGUCGAACGCAUCCCGUUAAAUGAAGUGCUUGCACGGAUUUUAACAUCGGAUGAGUGGCGAACUGGUGAGUAACACGUGGGUAACCUGCCCAGAAGCAGGGGAUAACACUUGGAAACAGGUGCUAAUACCGUAUAACAACAAAAACCGCAUGGUUUUUGUUUGAAAGGUGGUUUCGGCUAUCACUUCUGGAUGGACCCGCGGCGUAUUAGCUAGUUGGUGGAGUAACGGUUCACCAAGGCAAUGAUACGUAGCCGACCUGAGAGGGUAAUCGGCCACAUUGGGACUGAGACACGGCCCAAACUCCUACGGGAGGCAGCAGUAGGGAAUCUUCCACAAUGGACGAAAGUCUGAUGGAGCAACGCCGCGUGAGUGAAGAAGGUUUUCGGAUCGUAAAACUCUGUUGUUGAAGAAGAACACGUUUGAGAGUAACUGUUCAGACGUUGACGGUAUUCAACCAGAAAGCCACGGCUAACUACGUGCCAGCAGCCGCGGUAAUACGUAGGUGGCAAGCGUUAUCCGGAUUUAUUGGGCGUAAAGCGAGCGCAGGCGGUUACUUAAGUCUGAUGUGAAAGCCUUCGGCUUAACCGGAGAAGUGCAUCGGAAACUGGGUAACUUGAGUGC
rnacentral:rRNA from 2 species